rnacentral:rRNA from 1 species
AUUGAACGCUAGCGGGAUGCCUUACACAUGCAAGUCGAACGGAGUGGCGAACGGGUGAGUAAUGAAUAGGAACGUGCCCAGUAGCGGGGGAUCACUACGCGAAAGCGUAGCUAAUACCGCAUACUAUUGGAGCGGCCGAUAUAGGAGUAUCUAGUUGGUCGGGUAACGGCUCACCAGGGCGACGAUCCGUAGCUGGUUUGAGAGGAAGACCAGCCACACUGGGCUUGGGACACGGCCCAGACUCCUACGGGAGGCAGCAGUGGGGAAGUUUGGACAAUGGGGGAAACCCUGAUCCAGCCAUCCCGCGUGUGGGAUGAGGGCCUUCGGGUUGUAAAGCACUUUUGGCAGGAAAGCGGUACCUGCAGAAUAAGCACCGGCUAACUACGUGCCAGCAGCCGCGGUAAUAC